UAAUAAGUGUUUAUGGCACUUUUUAAAUCCAUAUCCACCUUGUGUGCAAUGUCAGUCGAUCUUCUUCAUGGAGAUAUUGACCAAACAUCAACCUUUAUCUUUAACACUUUGUCUGAAAAAUAUUAUGAAUAAACAAUUCAAAAUA
rnacentral:misc_RNA from 1 species